CGGAGGGAUCAUUAAAGAGUUCUAUAACUCCCAAACCCAUGUGAACAUACCUAACGUUGCCUCGGCAGGUCGCGCCUACCUCGUAGCCCCCUACCCUGUAGGGCCUACCCGGGAGACGCGGGUAAGCCUGCCGGCGGCCCACCAAACUCUGUUUGAUAUUGAAUUCUGAACCUAUAACUAAAUAAGUUAAAACUUUCAACAACGGAUCUCUUGGUUCUGGCAUCGAUGAAGAACGCAGCGAAAUGCGAUAAGUAAUGUGAAUUGCAGAAUUCAGUGAAUCAUCGAAUCUUUGAACGCAUAUUGCGCCCAUUAGUAUUCUAGUGGGCAGGACCGUUCGAGCGUCAUUUCGACCCUUAAGCCUUGGUUGCUUAGUGUUGGGAGCCUACGGUAACGUAGCUCCUCAAAGUUAGUGGCGGAGUUGGUUCACACUCUAGACGUAGUAAUUUUUUAUCUCGCCUAUCAGUUGGACCGAUCCCCUGCCGUAAAACCCCCAACUUCUCAAGGUUGACCUCGAAUCGGUUCAGACAAACUCGCUAAAUUGAAGCAUCUUAGUCAGCGAAGGAAAAGAAACCAACAGGGAUUGCCCUAGUAACGGCGAGUGAAGCGGCAACAGCUCAAAUUUGAAAUCUGGCCCUCGGGUCCGAGUUGUAAUUUGUAGAGGAUGCUUUUGGCGCGGUGCCU
rnacentral:rRNA from 1 species